GUUGCUGAAGCUGCUGGUUCCGGCGCAAUGUUGUCAUUAGCUAAUUUGGCAGCCGUCUGCGUUUAAUUAGAGGGCAGGCCACUGAGCACAGCACAGCACAGAUGGAGCGCUGCAACUGCAACACUUUCGUUUUCUUUGCCUGCUGCCGCCCUGCCCCACCACUGUGCCACGCCCUCGAUGUAGCCAUAGAUUCCCGCAUGGCCCAUCCCCCUGCCUGCCAGAGAUCAUGUCUCACGUAGAGGCCAUUAAAGGCCACAGCAUCACGAUCGAGUUGGAGCUGGAGCUUUAGAUGUGGC
rnacentral:lncRNA from 1 species